UGCAAAUCUCUGCGCUUAGAGUUUAGCCACU
rnacentral:piRNA from 1 species